GUUUCCAUAGUGUAGUGGUUAUCACGUUAAGCUAACACGCUGAAAGGUCCCCAGUUCGAAACUGGGUGGAAACA
rnacentral:tRNA from 1 species